rnacentral:pre_miRNA from 9 species
UGAAAGACAUGGGUAGUGAGAUGUCCCGUACAUCUAAAAUUCUCACUACCUUGUCUUUC